UAGUGUAGAGAUCAUCAUCUUCCUAUUCUCUUCUUCUUCUCUAAGAGGAUCUUAAGAGAAAUGAAGAUUCUUCAACCAUCAAGAUGCGAUCUCUGCAAGGAAGCUAGCACACCAAUGAGAUCAAAAAUUUUUGAUCAGAUCGAAGUCUCAUGUGGAUAUCCAUAAAGAUCGGACACUUGUGCGAUAUCAAAGAACUUUCGAAAG
rnacentral:lncRNA from 1 species